rnacentral:rRNA from 1 species
GACGAACGCUGGCGGCGUGCUUAACACAUGCAAGUCGAACGGUAAGGCCCUUCGGGGUACACGAGUGGCGACCGGGUGAGUAACACGUGAGUAACCUGCCCUGGACUCUGGGAUAAGCAUUCGAAAGGGUGUCUAAUACUGGAUAUGACCUGUGACCGCAUGGUUGUGGGGGGAAAGAUUUUUUGGUCUGGGAUGGGCUCGCGGCCUAUCAGCUUGUUGGUGGGGUGAUGGCCUACCAAGGCGUCGUCGGGUAGCCGGCCUGGGAGGGCGACCGGCGACACUGGGACUGAGAUACGGCCCAGACUCCUACGGGAGGCAGCAGUGGGGAAUAUUGCGCAAUGGGCGGAAGCCUGACGCAGCAACGCCGCGUGCGGGAUGACGGCCUUCGGGUUGUAAGCCACUUUCAGCAGGGACGAAGGGUUUCUUGACGGUACCUGCAGAAGAAGCACCGGCUAACUACGUGCCAGCAGCCGCGGUAAAAC